rnacentral:rRNA from 1 species
AACGAACGCUAGCGGCAGGCCUAAUACAUGCAAGUCGAACGGUGUAGCAAUACACAGUGGCGCACGGGUGCGUAACACGUAUGCAACCUACCUUACAUUGGGGGAUAGCCUUUCGAAAGGGAGAUUAAUACCGCAUAAGACAGUAACUAGGCAUCUAGUAGCUGUUAAAGAUUUAUCGAUGUAAGCUGGGCAUGCGUCCAAUUAGGUAGUUGGCGGGGUAAUGGAUCACCAAGACGAUGAUUGGUAGGGGAACUGAGAGGUCAAUCCCCCACACUGGCACUGAGAUACGGGCCAGACUCCUACGGGAGGCAGCAGUAGGGAAUAUUGGGCAAUGGGCGCAAGCCUGACCCAGCCAUGCCGCGUGCAGGAAGAAGGCGUUAUGCGUUGUAAACUGCUUUUAUACAGGAAGAAACGACCCUUGCGAGGGGCAUUGACGGUACUGUAUGAAUAAGCACCGGCUAACUCCGUGCCAGCAGCCGCCGCGGUAA